GCAGGGAAGAGGAAGAAAGAGAGUCUCUAAGAGUGAUGGGAAUAGGAACAUAGAGGAAAGGCAAAAGUAAACUUUUCUCCUCCAGUAAUGAAGGUAGAGAUUUGCUCUAUGUUUUCCCGAUGCCUCCUAUUCCUACCGACCUUAGUUACUCCUUCCUCUUCUUUUAGCUC
rnacentral:pre_miRNA from 1 species